ACCAGCCUGUGCGUGUAGGGGAAAAAGAUCUGUUGAGUCUGGAGAAGUGAAUAAGGGCAAAAGUGGAAAAAAAUUAACAUUUGUUGAUUAAAUCCUGCCCAGGGAGCACAGCCGUCUGCCACAAAAGUGAGAAACUGGCACAGAUCAAUGGCAGAACCAUGCAGGGAGAAGCGCAGCUGUGCGGCAUCGCUAAAUCCAGGGCUUCUCUAGGUACACAUUUAAGCCCAGAUCAGUCUAAGGCUUGCUGUCUCUCUGGAAGCAACAAAUCCAGAUAAAACCAGAAGGAGCUGGUGAAGCAGCAGCAAUGUUUACGGAGUAGUCACACGUUACUGAGCAACGUAGACGGGCAGGAUUCAUCCCUGGUCAGUCCUCUCUUGCUGUUCUAUUUCUCCAGGGAAGUGUGUUUUAUUCAUCUGCCUGUGGAGUCCAGCUAUUAAUAGGGUUCUAAAGUGCACCAAAUUGGCCAUUGGCAGUCCUAUUAAGAUACAUAAGCGCAUAUUACUCAUUUUAUAGUUUGUGUGUAAUUUGAGCCUUUCAAAUUUCCCUUGGAAGUCUUAGCUUAGCUACUUACCAUCACCUUAAGCA
rnacentral:lncRNA from 1 species